GCGACAACUAUGCUGGGGUCGUGUACUUGCCA
rnacentral:scRNA from 1 species